UACGUAGGGUGCGAGCGUUGUCCGGAAUUAUUGGGCGUAAAGAGCUCGUAGGCGGUGUGUCACGUCGGCCGUGAAAACCUGCAGCUUAACUGUGGGCGUGCGGUCGAUACGGGCAUCACUGGAGUUCGGCAGGGUAGACUGGAAUUCCUGGUGUAGCGGUGAAAUGCGCAGAUAUCAGGAGGAACACCGGUGGCGAAGGCGGGUCUCUGGGCCGAUACUGACGCUGAGGCGCGAAAGCGUGGGGAGCAAACAGG
rnacentral:rRNA from 1 species